UAUCAGAAUGCUUUUGUUGUUUAUAUUAAUCUUAUACUCUUAGGCUGUAGUAUCAAGAUCUCUAAGAUGCCCAGCAGAUUCUGGCAAUAAUAUGCAUGCACUCUGACCGGAUCUAACUUGCACUCUGUCCUUUGUUUUAGGUGAACUUGUCUGACUCAGAGUCAGGCCAGAAGGUCUUAGGGCUGUAAGAAAAUGUCUAACUGUUUUAACAGGCAGUAUGCCAGACCAAGGCGAUGUAUAUUCAAACCACUGUCUGCUGUUAAGGUCCCCUUUACAGAGUAUUCCUUUUUUUGACAGCAGGGAGAGAAAUCAAGGCUCAGUCCAGAAUACUAAAACAAAGAGAUAUUUUUGCUGAAUUUUCUCUCCAGUAGGCAGUGGCUGGUUCCAUCGCACUGAGCAAAAUUUCCUUCCAGGGCAACAAUAGCCUGCCUUGGUUGUUACUGGAGUGAGGCCAAAAUAUUUCAUUUCAGUGCAAUAAUAUUUUUACAGCAAAAGAGCUGCUGAAUGGGGCCUUCUAGGACUAUCAUAUUUGCUGGCAGGGCUACCUUCUACCCAAUCAUGAUUUAGAUUUGCUGCCAUUUCCUUGUAAUUACUAGGCUAGGGAAGAUAGUAUUCAAAUCCCUAUUACUCCUGAAUAUGCUCUCUGAUGGUUUCCUUUUUUGCUUUUUUACCUCUUUUCUGCUACGGCGGAACAGGUAUCCCCAGCUCUGAGAAAACGAGGAGGUAGCCAGACAGGGGUGGCAUAAAUAGCUGUGUGGUAAGAUGGGCGAGUAGGAAGAAAGCGUUGAGGACUUCCAGCUCAUUGCUCUGGUUGUUUCAUUAAACAGAAGGGCAGCUAGUCAGGUGGUAACACUGGACAAAAGAACUGGCACAAUGACAGACCACCAUGGUCUGUAGGAAAGAGGAAAUUUUCCGCAGUUUUCAUAUAAGAUUCUGCUGUCACUUUAGAAAGAAGGAGUAAUUGCUCCCAUUUUAUGGAUGUAGGAACUGAAGCACAAGGCAAUUACUUGCCCUAUUUGCUGAUAACCCAAACACUUGUGUCUUCCAUUGACUGGAACAAGAACUGAAGAAACUUAUGACCUCUGUGAACCAAGUUGGCUACAUUUGAUUUGUCCAACCUCUGUAGUGAUUCAGCAGCAGAACAGAAUGGAGGUCUAGGAACAGAUCUAAGAGUGGAAGAGAGGGAAGCUGCUAAUGAAUCAGGUGUUUCCUCUCACUAAAAUCCCUUGCAGUGGCACUGGCAAUUUGGAUAUUCCUAGCUAAGCACUGCAGUUCCUCUGUGGCUGCAAAAGGCUGGUGUGAAGAGCUGGAUAGAACUGGAAAUGCUGCACAGAGCUGAGAAAUGUGGAUGUAGUCACCUGUAUGUGAGGUGACCUGGGAAGAGAGGCAGUUCCCAUGUUGGUGGAGGGGCCGCACCUACCUCCAGUUUAAUUCUCCAGAGCCCUGCAACACGUCAGAGGAUAAUGCAUAUUUCAUACAGGUAUAAAUGAGCGUGCACUUCAAAGGCUGCCUGUAUCAUGCAAUCUGACAUUUGCAUCCUUGUCACUAUGGUUGUGACCAGGCCUCAGAGCUACUGAAAUCACAGCACAGCAGUAUUUCUGGACACUUGAUGAGUUGGCGACACCAGUGAAAAUAUCCUAGAUUCAGCCCCUCCUACAGGUUCUUUCCAGGUGAUGUACCAAUCUCCUUUUGGGGAACAAGGGUUUCGGUAAUAAAUGUCCAUUAAUUCGUUCUGACACCACUAUCAAUCUGUAAGCACUAUCAUCUGCGUCUAGUCUGAAGGGUUUCAAAGCACAUAUACGCCAAGGAAGGAGCUGUCACAGGGGCCUUUUUCAGCCUUGAAAAUCUUAAAUCAUUCUGCUGAAUAGUGGGCUUAUAUUAUUGGUGUACCCAGAAAGAGACCUGUAGUUAAAGCAGCGAUAUACAGAAUUGCAGGUCUGGGAGCGCCUACGGAGGUGGUUUGUUCAAUGCAGCAUUGUGGGGGUUGGUCAGCAGUAAUUCCCAUCCUGCUGAUGGUGUAUGAAAGGUAGAUGAUCUCUUUUGGACACAUGACAAACUUCUCUGGAUUUAGUUUCAGAUUGGCAGAGCAUGUCGUAAAGACAUCAGGUCUUUUAGCAUGCAUUAUAUCAUCUAAGCACAAAACUGAAUGAACCAUUCUUUAUUUUUCCAUGCAACUCAUCGUCCAGCCUUUUCUUCUGGAAACACUCUAAAUGAUGCUUUACUUCUUUUUGUGAAAUCUCCAACUCCUGAUUUUUGCCUUUUUCUUUCCAGCUUGUGAUUUUUUUUUUCCUUUUCUUUCUUUAAGCUUCUCUUCUGAGUUUUGAAGUGCUGUAGGCAUUGGUGACUGAGCAGCAGAUUUUUUCUUACUUCCAUUUGGCCAUAUUUGCUUUUUGAACACAAAUAUACCUCUUUAGAGCCUGAAUUUUUUCCUCACAUCAUUCUUGUUCUCUGAUAUUUCAAUGCUGUUGCUAGAACAACUACUGAGAAUGUGCUAGCAAAAGGCUGCAAGAAUGUGUCUUCUCUAGCAGAAAUAGUCAAAAUAUGGGGCUUUGCAGGGAAUUUCCAGUAAGAGAGGAAACUGAUGGCAAUGCAAAGAAAAUCUUCAAUGACAUCUUACUUAUUUGCAAGGAAGGUACAAAACUCUGAUUUUCUAAAUACAGAAAAACAAAAUUAAAAAACAAACAAAAAAACUCCCCAAACAUAAAAUAAGUCUAAAGUCUGAGUGCAAUUCCCAGAAUUUCUUGGUCAGUAUAAAACCUUCUCCGUCCAUCAAGGCUUUUUUUUAAUGUAUGUACACAUGAUUCUUGCUGUGACUUCCUGACUGGCUUUGGUUGUCCUUUCUGUUGUCUUGUACUAUUUUGCCUUCUCAUUUCAGAUGUACAGCUAGACAGUUCUGCCAAAAAAAUAUCCUGCGACACACCUCCACCUACGUAGCUCAGGUUCUGAGGUGGCCUUGUGUGCGGUUUUGUUUUGCAUGGUAGCUUAUAUGUUUAAUCUAUUCGACUCUCUAAAGCAAGUUUAAUGGCUUUAUAAAACCAUCUUAAGUGAAAGACCAGUGUUAUCCCAACCCAUCUUAAUGAAGUUUAAUCCAGUCUGCCACCUAAUGACAAGAUCCUUUCGACCCCACAUUUUACACCGGAGUAAGCAGAGGUAAAGAUGUACAAUAACAGAAUGGCUUCUCUUCUCCUUGUAGCUCAGACCAUCUGCUGUUGUUACCGCAUUACCUGCUGAAAAUUGCUGAUUUUAUUGAAACAGCUUUUGCUGUCUGGUACUGAACAAACCUCAGGUGUUUAUGUGCUUGUGCCUGGAGGGAGAACAGCAGCAAUUUACAAUUUCUAUGGGACAGUUUGGAUUUGGUGUGCUUACUCUUAGUAAAAACAGAUCUUUUUGUGUACAUGGCAAAGGACUCUGAGGUAAGCAUAAGCUACAAGCAGAAACGCUACAGAGAAGAGACGUUUGUGGAACCUUAGGUAGAUUUCUGUAACUUGCAUGUAAACUUAUGAGAGAAUAUCUUGGAGACUAGGAGAAGGGUAAAUGAGAUGCAGAAGGAACUCAUCAUUUCAUCUGAGUAGAUGUGGUUUUGCAUGUGAAAUGGAGAGAACUGCAAUUUUAGCUGUUGCAAAAGUCCUGGCAAAUGCCAGGAGUGUUUCCCUGAAAGUUUUAACCAUUGUGUUCUCAACUCCACUGAACCUUUUCUCUUAUUUUAGUAGAAUUCUUGGAGUAGAUUAAGUAUGAUAUGAAAUCUGUUUCCUGCUAAGUAUUUUUCCCUCUUUGUCUUUUCCCUUCAGGUUAUUGUUGCUGUUAUACAUGUCAACUUCUCAACCCUUCCUUUCCUGGCUGUCUUUCCCUGUGUUUAGAUCUUUCUCCAAGAAAUCUGGAAAGAUGCACUCAUCUAUUUUCGUUCCAAGCAGAAGAACAAAAGCACAAAAUGAGUGGUGUAUUCCCUGCUGAUUUCACAACUUGAACCAAUAUUUUUCACAGUGUUUUUGCAGCCUUCCUCCAGAGGCACCUGCCAGAUCUUGAUCCCUGCUCAAACUCUCACUGCUGUGGAUUACUAGGAUAAGAUGUGACCUAGGAAAAUGUGACUGCAAGUGGUAAAAGCAGGAAUUUUUUUCUGUGGAGAAAAGUUAAUACUUCUUUGCAUCGGAGUUUGUUAUAAGUAAUUAUGCAGAGCUCAAGGUCCCUAGAACACUACGUUCUGGUAUCUUUGACACACCUUAUAAUGUGUUUUUAACUUUGAUGCAAUGUAGCUCUCACUGUUUCCUGCAUGCUAUAGCUACUUUGCUGAACUGCUAAAGUACUGUUCUCUUUAAAUUACGUUUUUCUAACGUUUCCAAAGCUGCAUGAAUAGAGGCAGUCAGUGUUGUUAGGUUCAUUCAGAAGAGCACUUGAGACUUGCUGCCUGUGAUUAUGUGUCCAAGCAGUGACUGGGAAUACAGAUACCAAGAUAGUUAGUUCCUUACUAUGUUUGUAGUUCUCUAACAUUUCAGUAUUUCCAAAAGAAGCCAAGUGAGACCCACAAGUAUUCACAAGAGAAGGAGGUAUUGUGUCAGAUGAUUGGGUGUCAUGUCCCUCUGAGAGUGCUUCUCUGCUGCCUACCUUACACAGCCCAUUGCAUGGCAGUCCCUGUGCGGGCUGCAGCUAGCAACAACAUUUUCUUAAAGUGACUUGUUGCCUCAGGAAACUAGCAAAGGCUAUUACAAAAUUAAAUGUGGCAUAUUUACUGAAAGCAUUUGUUAGUAAUGUGGUUUAUUUUUAGUUUUUGCUUUUUAAAAAAUCUUAUUUGUUUAUUGCAGAUAUUUUGUUCAUUAUAUCUUGUGGUGUUUUUUCCCUAAAGUAUUUCCAGUUUGCAUAAAUGCUGCUUUCCUAAGUGUUGGGUCAGAGUCUGCAUGUGAGGAGGGCACUGCGUGCAUUUUUGUGCAUGUUUUUCAGUUCUGUAGUACUGACACCGUAAAAUAACAUUUGUUCCGAAAGCCUUGUUUUCAGCUUGGAAUAGUGUUUGGGUGUUACAUGAAUGGUCAGCAUUUUCCAGUUUGCCAGUUUGUGCCUGAAACUAAGUGUGACUCUACAUAGAGUGUUAAUUUUUUUUUUUCUUAAUAAGAUAAUAGUUCAUUACUAUGCUAAAAGACUUUGUUUUGGGAAAAGAUGUUUGAGUGAUUUGUGAACUAAAACCUCACUGUCAGUUGAAAAUGUUACUCUAAGAAUUACAGUUUUAUUUGAUGUGUGCACUGUGGUCUUCCACUUGUUCUCAUUUACAACCUGGGAUGCUAUUUUACUUUGGACUGGUUUGCACCUACCAGUUAAUUACUCCUAACUCGUGAGCUUACGGUUUAGAUUAAUAGUUAAGAAAAAAGGAGAAAAACACUGUUUCUAGUUUGUGGCUGAUAAAUGAGGGAUGAAAUAAUGAGUUGGCCUGGCCAUGCUCCUGAAGUCUGUGGCAAAGCUAGAAUUUGAAACUGUAUUCUGAGUCAGCUAUUAGAUCAGGCUCCUUGACUGGGAAAAGUUUCAGCUGUACAGAACCUUUUUUUUUUUGUAUGGAGUAGUUUGAAUGUCACCUAAAAACCAAGUUCUCUUCUUGUUUUGACAUGAACAACAGAGAUUUCCUCUUCCGCUGGCAGACUUCAUUAACAAUAUGGCUCUUUUAAUCACUAGGCACUCACCCAAAAUAUCCUGCACAUUGUUGGAGUGUCCUUACUGGUAGGAAGCAUGACCUUCUCUCUGAUACUAGGCCACCAAAAAGAAUGUAGUAAAUUUUAAUGUGAUUGUAACUUAGCCAGCAUUUACAUAAAAGAAAACAAUGAUCUUCUUGUUAUGGAGAUCAUUAAUGAAACAUCAGCACUGGUCUGCAAACGCUACCAUGUUGUGAUCCAGCUGAAAAAACAGCCUUGUGUAACUUGAGUGCAUUGCAUAACACAGGAAGUGGAAAAACAAACUAAAUUUUCAAGGGUUGUUUACAUUUGAACUAGAUCCGAAUGAAAAGUCUACAGUGAAUAGCUUUUUGAGUAAUUUAACUUAUGUAUCCUCUGAAGGAAUAUCUAUGAAGCUGAAUAUAUUCUUUCUCGCCUGUUCAAUGCUGGUAUUUGUGGUUGCAUUUUUUAGCAUGUUAAUCUAAUGUUUGAAAUACAUAUAGCAUUGAAUUUCAGAUAAGUCAUGUGGCGCUGUUUCGUUUCCGACUGGAGAAGGGUAUGAGUACUCUGCGGUCAGGAUUUGUAGGUGAUUCAAAAUCCAUCUCCCUUAUGCAGUCAGGCAUGUAACUUUGAAAUUUGCUUAUCAGUUAGUAUCUUGAAAGUUAAAAACAGUAAGUCACAUGUUGUGAUAGGCGAACUCAUGUUCCAAUAAACUCACGGAAACAUAAUAAUUUGCAGAACUUGCUUGAUAGAUUUUAUCUAGGUAUAGUUCCUUGUGUUUCAAUGCGGUACAUUCAAGACAAAGUAAUUUCUCUCAAAUAGUAUUCUUCAAUUAUAUCUCACUGUAGAAAAGCAAAGUUGCAAAACUCAGCGAGAUUUCAGGAGGAGGCAGCCAAACGAGAAACUCUGCAACUGUUUCUUAUAAGGUCUGCCAUUUUCCAAAGUGUUAAAAUCCCAUGAGGAUCAAGCGUGUAAACAGUGAUCUGAACCUCAGUUUUGGCAUUCAAGCCUGAGAUGUUUGUUAACAGCUUUAAAAGUCCUCCCCUGAUAUCUUUAAACUUCCUGGAUCAGAGAUUUCUUUAGGGUGAGUUACAGCCUGUUGGAAGUUUAUCUUGUUAUAAAGUUCUUGAAGGGAAUGGCAUCCAGGCAAAAAAGAUUAAAAAUUGGAUUUAAAGACUGAAAAAUGAGAAAACUGAACUGCAAGAUGAAACUGUCAGUUCUUGUUAUGAGUGGUGUGUAAACUAACACAUGCACAGAGUUCAAGAGACUUAUGUUGACUUUUCAUUAGCUGAAGAUCUGUUUCUGUGAUCCAGCUGAAGGGACACAGACAUUGCUGACCAAAAAAAGAUUGCUCAGCAUCGACCAGCAAAUUGAUAUUGGCCCACAUGUGAAUUAUUAAUGGACAGGAUGGCCACAUUGUGAAUUGUAUUUUGCCUUUCAUUAGCAGGAGAGGAGGGGAGUGUGCUGUGCUAGCUUAUUCUAGUAAAUAGCGUGGAGUUGUAAAACUUGAAAUUUUAUUUUAUGUACCGGACUGAACAGAAUUGCAGGACAUACUCUCAUGGUUUCUUCUGUUAUCAUUAAAAUUAAUAGCCAUCUGAUAGGCAUCAACUUCAGUGUAAAAGGAGGUGUUCUUAAGUUGGGUCAGCCUUCAGUGGAUAAGCGAGAGGCACAUAAAUCUGGGUGUUCUCAGGCGUUACUUGGCAUUGGAUAUUUUCUGCCAGCAGGACCUAAGGGUAGCUGAUGAGAAAGCACUUGACAGUGGGUAUAAUUGCUGUAUACCAUGGGGCUAAAGUAACUUUCUCAGCCUACAUUAUCUGCUCAAAUAAACUAUGUAGUAUUAAGAAUGCAUUAAGUAUUGUGGUUUAUUUGAUCACCAGAACUCUCCCGCCCCUGCCCCCCAAGUCACAGAUGCAGCAGUGGCUUUUCAGCUGAGUGAGGAUACCACAUAAUAUAUGGUUGCCUGGGGAUUAUUCUUUGGAUUUGGGUUAACUUAAAAUUUGGCUAUGUUUUUAUAAUUAUUUUUUCCUUUAUUUUUCCCAUGUGAAAAAAAACCUGGUUUUGAUAUAUCUCUAUAUAUGUAUAUUAUCCAUGUAUUUAAAAUAUGUGACAAUAUGCAAACUGUAUUUCAAAUGGCACAGUGCUGGCCAAUUUCCAACCUGGGUUAGAUUUAUAGGAUAAUAGUAUAUUGUAUUGUUUUGUGUCAAAUUUUGGACUAAUGAACAAUUAAUUUCAACACACAACAGUGCCCCCCCAUCUUUCUACAUAUAAAACAAUUUUUGUGAAACACAGAAAGUAGGUGAAAGAUGCGUGCUUCCUUAAAGGGCUGACUGUUUCAGGGAAAAUAUUCGAUUUCGAGAUCUGUUGAGAUUACACUGAGUGUGUUCCAUUAUCUUAUUUGUCCUCUGUAUUUCAGUAAAGUCUGGAGGUCAUUGACAGUUGUGCUAAGUGCUGUACACACAGAAUAAGAAAAGUGGUCUUCCCUGCGGUUAAAGGGAGAAACAAGAGCUGGUUGUGAAGAGCAAUUGUAGAAAGCAUAGCGCGUGCUUUGUAAACAACAAUGGCCUGGAAUGGAAGUGUUUGUUCCAGUUUGGGAUGUGCCACUCUGAGGAGAGAGGGAGGGAGACAGGGCAAGAAGCAAAGCAAACUGGAACACUGACAUGAAAUUGAGCAGCGUGUAUUCUGUAUCCACAUCAAAGGUCUGGACGGAAGACAUUUGAGACAAGGACAUGGAGCUGAUACUGCUCUGUGGAGAUGGAAAAUGGAUAAAUGUCUGAUUCUCUCAUCAGAAAGCGAUUUCUUGGAUAUUUUCUGCUCCCUCAAGAAAAAAUGAAGCAUUUUUGUUCCUGCCUUGAACAUCCUGUGAAAGGAAAAGGUGCAAAAUAUGUCAUGCUCAGAGGGAGCAUAAAAUUCUGGGUCGGGCAGUGGAAUCAUUUUAUUGAAUACCAUAUUUGUCAUGGAAAAGCUUGGAAGAAUGGUUUUUCUGUUACCUUAAUUCCUACUGCAUCUCUGCUGAGCAUGGUGAUUUGCGUGAUCAAGUAUACUGGAUAAUGAAUAUGAUGAGUAGCUACAGUAAAAGUAGGAGAACUGGAAUAGCAUGAAACAGAACAGAAAUUGGCCUUGAAACUUGGUAUAAGUCUCACUGACUGGGUUAUCAGAGGAGGCUAUGAAGAUGUCAGACCUUGGCAAAAUGGGACUUCUAGGACUGUGCCCAUAGCAUGAUGUCCUUCUUUUAGUUCUGGCUACUUGAAGGCUUCUUUCAUUAGAGAGACUGAUGACUAUUACUACAAAUAUCCCACAGAGCAUUCAGUUAUGCUGGAAGGAGGGUGAAAACGACAUGCCAGAAGCUAUGCAAGAGAGAUGAUGCACAUUAUUCUAAUUUUAUGAGGUUGCUUUCUUUGAUAAUUUGCUUAGCGCUUGUUCCAUGAGCACAUAGGGAAAGCAAGCCUUCAUUAAGAAAAAAUGCAGUUUCUAGGGGAAAUUACAGAUGUGGUCAUCUACUGGGGAGUGAAAAACUUGAACUAAGUGGACUCUACAGAUAAUAUUUUUAUGAUGAUGUGCUUGUGAUCCCGUAUCAGCCGUGCACACAAAAAUGAGGCCUUCCGUACUACUUGGAACACGAUAUAUACACCACCUGCUUGCAGCUCUGGGUGUGAAGCAAGGACACCAAGAACUGGAUGAGGAAUUGCAGGAACACAAGAGAUUUUCCUGGGAAUGCAUCCAAGAAGCGCCGGUGGAGGCUUUCUAGUUAAUCAGUUUGUCAAAAGGAGUACUUUUUUCCAACGUGCAACAUUAUUCACUUAAUUUUCCAUUAGGCCUUUUAAUUGAAAGCGAUGAUUUUCACCCACUGUACUGUUGUUGAGCCGAUAAGAUAAGAUCUUACACUAAUGGAAAAUCAGUUAAUGCAAAAUACAGCAGCUUAAAGCAGAAAGGGGAGAGGCUGACUGCAGAGCUUGGAGCAGUAAUACCAGCUUGUCAUCCGACACUGGUCUGCUUGAGUGGGAAUGUGAACUUUGACUCUAGUGUCCAUUCUCUCAAAGGCCAAAGAAAUUGAGAUAAAGAGGCACAAGAGCAGCAAGACAUCCUGAGGAUACACUAGAAGACUGAAGUGAUGCUCUGAAGGCUAUUUUUCUUGGCUGUGGAAGCCUGAUUGCAAUUUCUCUCUGUUUUGGGUUUUAGGCACAGUACAGAAUACUUCUGGCAUCUGCUUUCCUCUCCAUUGCUAAUCCGCCUGGUACUGUCCCCUUGUGAUGACUGCUCAUGUUCUGCCUGGAGAACCCACCGCUUCUGCGGUUUUUGAAACACGGUGAUAUAAAUGUCCACACUGUAGCCAUCUCCCAAAGGAAAUCUAUACCUAUUGACUAUAUAUACAAGAGGAUCACAUCAUCAGCUCAAGAGAGAAAUUCCAUUCUGAAAUACCACAGGAUAACGCCUUACAGCUCUCACUUGUUCUUGUGACAUCAUGAUUGUGAUUUCCUGGAGAAAAGUGACAAUUACGCCAAGCUUCUCUGGGCAGUGUAGCACCAAGGCUGUUCACAUAGCACCUCCCAGUUGAUGUUAAGACACAUGUGCUCUUCAUUCUCUACUCUCCUAUUGGCAAGAGCUUCUGUGGGAAGUCUGAAGAAAGAACUUGAUCACGCUGUACAACAGAUUCAGUGAAUAUCAUCGGCAUGCCUUUAGAUGGCAUUUUCACUGAAACUGAAGAUACCUUAAGCACUGGUUUUGUGAAACCUGGUCGGAUCGUGGCAACUACCAGCUCACUUCUGUUUUAUUAGCUGCUCCUAGUGGAGAAGUGCAACAUGUUUCUGAGUCAGCAAAGGGAACCCAGCACAUUUCCCAACAGCCAGAGGAGCAGCCUUGGGGAAAAAGGCAAACCACUAAUGAGCUAUUAACAGUAAACAGAAAGGAGGAAGAUCAAAGCAAAGCAGCUUGAAACGAAGGGCCAGGUGGACACCAGAAGGAAAUGGUCUACACCGAAGCCAUUAUGUUGUGAGAAAUAUCAGAGAGCUUCCUGAGCUCAGCAUGUCCCAGUGUUGUUUGAGAGAGAUACAGAGUCAGCUGGCUGCUUUUCCAGUCAGCAUUACUCUCACUAUGCCUUUACCUACAGACAGCAACUUCU